CCUCCGUUUUUCAGCAGUUAGUACUAUUGUUCAAUGGACGAGAGUCUUAACCAGCCAAGUAGCGUGAAGGAUGACUGCCCUAUGGGUUGUAAACUUCUUUUAUAUGGGAAUAAAACGUUCCACGUGUGGGAUUUUGUAUGUACCAUAUGAAUAAGGAUCGGCUAACUCCGUGCCAGCAGCCGCGGUAAUACGGAGGAUCCGAGCGUUAUCCGGAUUUAUUGGGUUUAAAGGGAGCGUAGGUGGAUUGUUAAGUCAGUUGUGAAAGUUUGCGGCUCAACCGUAAAAUUGCAGUUGAAACUGGCAGUCUUGAGUACAGUAGAGGUGGGCGGAAUUCGUGGUGUAGCGGUGAAAUGCUUAGAUAUCACGAAGAACUCCGAUUGCGAAGGCAGCUCACUGGACUGCAACUGACACUGAGGCUCGAAAGUGUGGGUAUCAAACAGGAUUAGAUACCCGGGUAGUC
rnacentral:rRNA from 1 species